rnacentral:rRNA from 1 species
CCUGAACGCUGGCGGCGUGGCUAAGACAUGCAAGUCGCACGGUGUAGCAAUACACAGUGGCGAACGGGUGAGUAAUGAAUCGCUAAUGUGCCCCGGACUCUGAGAUAGCUGCCCGAAAGGGCAGGUAAUAUCAGAUGAUAUAACCGAACCGUAUGGUUUGGUUCUCAAAGGUCCGCCGGUCUGGGAGCAGGCGAUUUCGUAUCAGCUAGUUGGUGAGGAACGGCUCACCAAGGCGACGACGCGUAGCCGGACUGAGAGGUUGGCCGGCCACAUUGGGACUGAGACACUGCCCAGACUCCUACGGGGGGCUGCAGUAACGAAUCUUCCGCAAUGCACGAAAGUGUGACGGAGCGACGCCGCGUGUAGGACGAAGCCCGUUCGGGGUGUAAACGUAACUGUCGAGGGGUUAAGGAAAGUUCUGAUCAACCCCAGAGGAAGGGGACGGCUAACUCUGUGCCAGCAGCCGC